UACGAAGGGGGCUAGCGUUGUUCGGAAUCAUUGGGCGUAAAGGGCGCGUAGGCGGCCGAUCAAGUCGGGGGUGAAAGCCUGUGGCUCAACCACAGAAUUGCCUUCGAUACUGUUUGGCUUGAGACCGGAAGAGGUUAGUGGAACUGCGAGUGUAGAGGUGAAAUUCGUAGAUAUUCGCAAGAACACCAGUGGCGAAGGCGGCUGACUGGUCCGGUUCUGACGCUGAGGCGCGAAAGCGUGGGGAGCAAACAGG
rnacentral:rRNA from 1 species